rnacentral:misc_RNA from 1 species
AACCAUAGAAACCUGCGGAGUACCUGCGGAGGGAUCAUUACAGAGUUGCAAAACUCCCUAAACCAUUGUGAGCGUUACCUAAACCGUUGCUUCGGCGGGCGGCCCGGGUCCUUCCCGGCGCCCCUCGGCCCUCGCGGGCGCCCGCCGGAGGUAAACCAAACUAUUGCAUUGUAUGGCCUCUCUGAGUCUUCUGUACUGAAUAAGUCAAAACUUUUAACAAUGGAUCUCAGAUCGGAAGAG